UAUUAGAUUGGUGCAAAAGUAAUUGCGGGUUUUGUCAUUACUUUUAAUGGUAAAAACCGCAAUUACUUUUGCACCAACCUAAUAUUU
ensembl:miRNA